CCCUCUCUUCAGUUAUAUAUCUACAGGUGUCCUAAAUUAGAAGAAAGAUAUAAUUUUGAAGGAGGAAAACACUUGUCUGACAUCUCUCAUAUUCCAACCGUAUCAAUUAAUAACGAAGUACUAUGAAUCCUUAAGAUGGUGCGGCAUUGCGUCAAAAGGUUAGAGAAGAUGAGGAAGCAGUCAAAAAGAGACAAAUAUGAUAUGCAGGGAAGGCGGGCAAGAAGUUAACCUAAACAUUGCUGAGGCUAAGUACAGGUUAUAAAAUAUGAAAGGAGCUCACAAGAAUUGCUCCACUCUCAGCACGAAGACUGGUGAG